rnacentral:rRNA from 1 species
AGAGUUUGAUCCUGGCUCAGCGCGAACGCUGGCGGCAUGGCUAAAACAUGCAAGUCGAACGAGAACCCCCGCAAGGGGGUGAAAGUGGCGAAAGGGCGAGUAAUACGUUUCUACGUACCCUGAGGUCGGGGACAGCCCGGGGAAACCCGGAUUAAUACCCGAUGAUAUCGCAAGAUCAAAGCCGCAAGGCGCCUUUGGAGCGGGGAACGUCCUAUCAGGUAGUUGGUGAGGUAACGGCUCACCAAGCCGAAGACGGGUAGCGGGUGUGAGAGCACGGCCCGCCGCAUCGGGACUGAGACACUGCCCGGACUCCUACGGGAGGCUGCAGUAACGAAUCUUCCGCAAUGGGCGAAAGCCUGACGGAGCAAUGCCGCGUGCGGGAUGAAGCCCUUCGGGGUGUAAACCGCUGUCAGGGGUCACCAACACAAUGAGGAGCCCCAAAGGAAGGGCCGGCUAACUCUGUGCCAGCAGCCGCGGUAAUACAGAGGGCCCGAGCGUUGCGCGGAAUCACUGGGCUUAAAGCGUGCGUAGGCGGAUCGUUAAGCGUUUUGUGAAAUCCCACGGCUCAACCGUGGAAUUGCAGGGCGAACUGGCGAUCUUGAGGUCGGUAGGGGUCGUUGGAACGCUAGGUGGAGCGGUGAAAUGCGUAGAUAUCUAGCGGAACGCCAAAGGUGAAGACAAGCGACUGGGCCGAUUCUGACGCUGAGGCACGAAAGCGUGGGGAGCGAACGGGAUUAGAUACCCCGGUAGUCCACGCCCUAAACGAUGUGCACUAGGUCGUGAGAGUUCUGACACUCUCUCGAUCGAAGCGAAAGUACUUAGUGCACCGCCUGGGGGAGUACGGUCGCAAGGCUAAAACUCAAAUGAAUUGACGG